ensembl:misc_RNA Metazoa_SRP Metazoan signal recognition particle RNA
UCUGGGGCAUGGUGGCACAUGCCUGUAGUCCCAGCUACUCGGAAGACUGAGGCAGGAGGAUCGCUUGAGCCCAGGAGUUCUGAUAUCGUUCAGGUGUCUGCACUAACUUCGGCAUCAAUAUGGUGACCUCCAGGGAGUGAGGGACCACCAGGUUGCCUAAGGAGGGUGUGAACCAGCCCAGGUCAGAAACAGAGCAGGUCAAAACUCCUGUUCUAAUCAGAAAGCCCUCUGGCUCCCAGAUUAAGGCUACACUGUACUGCUGAAU